rnacentral:tRNA from 1 species
GCACGGUAGAGCUCAGUGGUAGAGCGCUUGCUUAAUGUGCAUGAGGUCCUGGGUUCAAUCCCCAGUGCCUGCU